GACGAACGCUGGCGGCGUGCUUAACACAUGCAAGUCGAACGGAAAGGCCCUGCUUUUGUGGGGUGCUCGAGUGGCGAACGGGUGAGUAACACGUGAGUAACCUGCCCUUGACUUUGGGAUAACUUCAGGAAACUGGGGUUAAUACCGGAUAGGAGCUCCUGCUGCAUGGAGGGGGUUGGAAAGUUUCGGCGGGUGGGGAUGGAUGCGCGGCUUAUCGGCUUGUUGGUGGGGUAGUGGCUUACCAAGGCUUUGACGGGUAGCCGGCCUGAGAGGGUGACCGGCCACAUUGGGACUGAGAUACGGCCCAGACUCCUACGGGAGGCAGCAGUGGGGAAUAUUGCACAAUGGGCGGAAGCCUGAUGCAGCAACGCCGCGGGCGGGAUGACGGCCUGCGGGUUGUAAACCGCUUUCGCCUGUGACGAAGCGUGAGUGACGGUAAUGGGUAAAGAAGCACCGGCUAACUACGUG
rnacentral:rRNA from 1 species